UUCCCUCGGCAGAGAAGAGGCGAUGGCGGCGCUGGCAUCUAUCGGCGCCCUGGCGCUACUCCUGCUGUCUAGCCUCUCCUGCUGCUCCGCAGAAGCCUGCGUGGAGCCCCAGAUCACCCCUUCCUACUACACCACCUCGGAUGCCGUCAUUUCCACUGAGAUUGUUUUCAUCGUGGAGAUCUCCCUAACGUGCAAGAACAGGGUCCAGAACAUGGCUCUUUAUGCUGAUGUUAGUGGAAAACAAUUUCCUGUCACCCCGGGGCCAGGAUGUGGGGCGUUAUCAGGUAUCCUGGAGCCUAGACCACAAGAGCGCCCACGCAGGUACCUACGAGGUCAGAUUCUUUGAUGAGGAGUCCUACAGCCUCCUGAGGAAGGCUCAGAGAAAUAAUGAGGACAUUUCCGUCAUCCCGCCCCUAUUCACAGUCAGUGUGGACCAUCGGGGCAUCUGGAACGGGCCCUGGGUCUUUACCGAGGUGUUGGCUGCAGCCAUCGGCCUAGUGAUCUACUAUCUGGCCUUCAACGCCGAGUCACAUCCAGGCCUGAAGGUGGCACCCCUGGGCUAUUGCUACUUUCAAUAAACGGUUGCUGGCUAUAAAAAAAACUAAUAAUAAUAAAAAAAUAAAUUUAA